GGAAAAGGAAUGCACCUAGGUGCUGGCCUUUUAAUGUGAGUUCUCACAACUGGCUGUAAGGCCUGCAAGCACUUCACUGAUGGAGCUCCAAACUUCACAGAACACUCAAGAAGAUAAAUUAACACCAAGAAAUGAUUGUAAACUACAACCAUGGAUGUUUAAGAAUAUGGAAGAAUGAGAAACACUUACCUGAAGGAGAAACCAAGGGCCAAGUCAUUAGGAAUCAAGCAGCAAUCAUCAUUUCCCAAUCCAUGUGAGGAGGCAUGAAAAAGAGCAGAGAAGAAAAAGAAACAAAAUGAUUCACUUGUAUAUUCAGAGAGGCAUAAAAGCAUCUCUGUCUGCACUGAGCACAAGAUCUAUUGCCAUGUCCUCUGCUAGAGAGACUGUUGUAAAGUAAGCAGGACUCUAGAGCUGGGGAUGUGCCUUUACAAGCAGGAAAAGAGAAAGAGAGGUGCUUACAAAAUCCAGAUGAAUAUAACAGUAUAGCACUUGGGAACAAUAUUCUCAUCAGAAAAUCUUCUUGGCCCACUAGCCUGUGAAGACUUAAUUCCCUUUCCAUCAACAUUCCAGAAAGAAAUCAUGCCUACCCUGUCUCAGCCACAGGAGAAGGAAGGUGUCUGAACAGACUGGGGAGAAGAAGAGCCAGAGAGCAAGGAUUUAGAGAUUCCUAUGACUGUCAAUCACAACUAGGGAAGAGUCAAUCAUCAGAAACUCAUUCCUCAUUCAAGUGGAGAAAGAAAAUCAUGAAGAGGUACUCCUAUAGCUGAGUGCCAGUUCAGACCUGGAAGCCACAGUGACACUCGUCCACACAGACAGACAAAGUUGCCUACCUCUUAUCACAUCUUUGGCCACUCUUUAUUUUUUAAUCAAUUCUGUGACUACAAGGGGCUCACAAAAACUUCCAAGUGGAAAUAGCAGCAUGAGAAAAUACAUUGUCUUUUCCUUUCCUUUUAAAAGUAUGGGGUAAAAUUCAUCAUGUCUGUGAAUACAACAUGCCACAAAUAAAUCUAUAUUAGAAUAGCACUGCCAAUUUGAAGCCUUUCUACAAGUUCUAAAUACAGUCAACAAACAGUAUGCAGUCACAUCAAUUUUAUGUCUCCCCAGAAAAGCAAAUGAGUGUUACUAACCUUCAGCUUAACUGAGUCAAUGGUAAAAUUAAAAGUCCUUGAUCCUAAGAAAGAUUCCAAUCUCAGACAUGCAAAUUAUACUAUCUUUCAAAGAGAUAAAUGAAUCCAUUUGUUAGAUUUUGCUUAUUGUAUUUGAACAUUUCCUUAUUAUAAGUAGAAGUUGAUAAGAUAAAAUUGGCUAUAACACACGGCCAUGUAUAAAGCACCUUCAAGGAAACACCCGGUGGUAUUGUGUUUCAGUCUACCCAAGUGCAAGUGUCCUCAAAAUGUCAUCAACAAUAAACUGUAAAAGGCUUCACAUCUACUCAUUAAACAGCCUCCCUAAGGCACUGGCAUGCAAACAGAAAUUGGCUUCUCUCUAAAAUAAUAACUCUUACAAAUUCAGACAUAGACAGCAUUUUUUUUUUUACUAGACAUGAAAGUUUAUGCUUCGAGUCUUGUUUAUGUUAUAAUCAGUACAGGGGGUGGAACCAAAGAAAUCGCCUAGGUAAUUUCCAUAUUAAUGGAUUUAAUAUUUUCCUGUCCUACCCCAAGUGUCUGGCACACAUUUUAGAAUCUAGUUUAGAGAAUGUGUAUUUUGGAUGCCCUGGGGCUCUUUCGUUAGAUUCAACAAUGAUGAAUUUCAACAUUUCAUCAAAUGAUGAAACAAAAAGCAAACUUCUUGACACUGAGAAUGUCACAAUCAACAUCACACAAGUUACUCUGUGAAUUAGCUUUAUUCCCCCAAGUCAUAUACAUACAAACAACACUGAGUGGACAGGGAAGGUUGUGUUCAUCUAUGCAUAUGUGUGUGCACGUCUGUUUGUAUAAGACAAUGAAAGAAAGAGAGACAAUGAAUUUGAGAGGGAAAAGAGGGGAACAUAGCAGGGGUUAGAGAGAGGAAAGAGAAAGAGUAAAUGAUACGAGUAUGUUUUAAUUUAAAAAAAACAUUUUUUAAAUGGAUAAAUCACCUUAAUCAAAUAUUGACAAACAUAGUUACUGAGAUGUUUACUUUUUAUUGGCAUUUAGAUUUGUAUGACAAUUUGCCAAAUAA